ensembl:rRNA 5S_rRNA 5S ribosomal RNA
GCUUACGACCACACCGGCCUGAGUAUGCCUGAUCUCGUCUGAUCUCGGAAGCUAAGCAGGGUCGGGCCUGGUUAGUACUUGGAUGGGAGACCGCCUGGGAAUACCAGGUGCUGUAAGCU